rnacentral:rRNA from 1 species
UACGUAGGGUGCAAGCGUUAAUCGGAAUUACUGGGCGUAAAGCGUGCGCAGGCGGUUUUGUAAGUCUGACGUGAAAUCCCCGGGCUUAACCUGGGAAUUGCGUUGGAGACUGCAAGGCUGGAGUCUGGCAGAGGGGGGUAGAAUUCCACGUGUAGCAGUGAAAUGCGUAGAGAUGUGGAGGAACACCGAUGGCGAAGGCAGCCCCCUGGGUCAAGACUGACGCUCAUGC